UAAGCACCUUGAGAGGCUGAAGUGUGUUACCCGUCCUGAGGUUUCGGCUGUGGGAGUUGCCCUGGGGGACCUGGGACACCUCCGGGGAGAGGGCAAUUAAGUGGUCACUGGUUAUACUGAGCGAUAAGCACUGGGAAAUAAAACAGCACUGUCACGUUCCUCCUCUUAGCUGCACGCGUUACACAAAAUGAACCUAUGUGGAGUUAUAAGAACUGCUUUUCAGGAGGCUGAAGGCUGCCUGUCAGUCUGCUUGGCGGCCCUCACUGGUAACACGUUGUAAGCAUGUGAGGACAUCUGCAGGCUCUGCUUUGUUUCAGGACUGAAAUAUUGAGUGCUGUGCUCAGCCCUGCGCUGCCCCGCUGCUCGCUGUGAUCUGUGGGUGCUGCUGCUGCCCACCGGCUGGCAGCCCAACUGCUCUCAGGGAUUUUCUUGCUUCAGAUGAGGUUAAUUCAGCAGCACGCUCUGCACAAAAUUGGGAUCUCCAAAGAGGAGGCGCUGGAAGCAUUACAGGUUGUCAGGCAGGAAUGUGCUGGCGAUGCAGCAAAGACGGCUGGGGGGUCAGACAGCACCAGGAAGUGCACAGCUCUGGAACUUCUGGAAGAAGAGCAUGCGCAGGGCUUCAUCAUCACCUUUUGUUCAGCACUGGACAACAUUCUGGGAGGUGGUGUGCAACUGACAAAAAUUACUGAGAUCUGUGGAGCACCUGGUGUUGGGAAAACACAACUAUGUAUGCAGUUGGCAGUGGAUGUCCAGAUCCCGGAAUGCUUUGGGGGUGUAGCUGGGGAAGCAGUGUUCAUUGAUACUGAAGGCAGUUUUAUGGUAGACAGAGCAGCAGAUAUUGCAACUGCCUGCGUGCAGCAUUGCCAGCUUAUUGCUGAAGCUCAUCAAGAAGAAGAUCAUCUAAAAGCUUUGGAGACUUUUUCUCUUGAAAGUAUCCUUUCUCACAUAUAUUACUUCCGCUGCCGUGACUACAUAGAGCUUCUAGCACAGGUCUAUCUCCUCCCAGACUUUCUUUCGGAACACUCAAAGGUCCGACUGGUGGUAAUUGAUGGAAUUGCAUUUCCCUUUCGCCAUGAUUUCGAGGACCUCUCACUUCGAACACGGCUUUUGAAUGGUCUGGCACAGCAGCUGAUCAUCAUUGCAAAUGAUCAUAAAUCAGCGGUUGUUCUGACAAACCAAAUGACAACAAGGUUUGGACAGAACCAGUCCAUGUUGGUACCUGCGUUAGGAGAAAGCUGGGGACAUGCUGCUACCGUGCGUUUAAUCUUUCACUGGGACAACACUCAGAGGUUGGCAACAUUGUACAAAUCACCGAGUCAGAAGGAGUCAACCAUACCAUAUAACAUUACACACAUUGGUAGCUCAGCCACCAGACUGAGCAAGCCUGGAAGCUAUGGAACACCUAUCAAAUGAAAUAAUAAUUCUUUCACAGGCUGAUGAGGAUUCAUUCUUAAGUGCAGAGUAUAGAAAUGUAAAUUGAUUUAAGCACAAGGGAGUAAAUGGCUCAUCUGAUUCAUCUAAAUUUCCCAGCCUCAGGGCUUCCGAGAUGUGCAGCCUCCACCUGUCACCCAAAAUGCAGAAGGUACUGAAAUGAACCCUCGCA